AUGGCCGAGGCGGCCUUCGCCCAUUUCGAGGCCUUGCUGGGCACGGCGACCGCCCGGGAGCACUCGCUGGACCUGUCACAGCUCAUUGAGCCGACCGACCUCGCCGACCUCGAUGCGCCGUUCAGCGCCGAGGAGAUUUGGGAGGCUGUCAAGCGCCUCCCCGCCCGCAAGGCGCCAGGCCCAGACGGGUUCACAGCAGAAUUCCUACGCGCAUGCUGGACUACCAUCAGGCAGGAUUUCCUUGACGUGUUCCAGCAACUUUAUGACCUGCGAGGAAGGGGGUUCUACAAGCUGAACCAAGCAUUGCUGACGCUGCUGCCAAAGAAAGCCGACACCCAUGGGCUGCGCGACUACCGGCCGAUCUGCCUGAUUCACCUUGUGGCCAAAAUCUUCGCCAAGGUGCUCUCGAUCCGCCUCGGUGCCAAGCUGGACAACCUGGUUAGCCGCAACCAAAAUGCUUUCAUCUCGGGAAGGAGCUUGCACGACAACUACGUCCUUGUCAAGCAGUCACUCAAGCUGCUGCACCAAUUGGGAGCUCCGAGAGUCAUGCUCAAGCUCGACCUCACGCGCGCCUUUGAUUCCCUGUCAUGGCCAUUCCUCUUUGAGGUUCUACACCAGUAUGGAUUCGGGAACAGAUUCUUGGAGUGGACGGCCAUCCUCCUGUCUUCUGCGAGCACACGCAUCCUCCUGAACGGCGAGCCCGGCCCACCCAUAUGGCACCGGCAAGGGCUCCGGCAGGGCGACUCCAUGUCCCCGCAGCUCUUCGUGCUCGCGGUCGACACCCUGGGACGGCUCCUACGACGCGCUCACUGCCUGGGCAUUCUGCUGCCGCUACACCCACAGCGCCACAUUCCGGCGAUCUCCCUCUACGCCGACGACGUCAUGGUCUUCUGCCACGCCACGGCGGAUGACACCACUGCGAUCAGGGAGAUCCUAGCCUUGUUCGGCAGGGCCUCCUGCCUGAAGGUGAACUUCACCAAGAGCUCCGCCACCAUCCUGCACGGCGACCAAGCAGACACGGAGAUGAUCGCGCACCUCGGCUGCCCGGUGGCGACUCUCCCCAUCACCUACCUCGGCAUCCCCAUGUCCACGCGCCGCCCAUCUGCCGCCCAGCUACAACCCAUGGUUGAUGCGGUUGCAGCGCGCCUACCGACCUGGAAGACCUGGCUGAUGACUAAAACCGGGCGCCUCGCGCUGGUUAAGUCGGUCUUGAGUGCCAUCCCAGUGCACCAACUGCUUGCGUUCGCGCCCCCCAAAAAAACUCUCAAGCAGAUCGAGAAGAUUCAGCGUGGUUUUCUUUGGGCUGGACGCGCCGCUGCCAAUGGCGGACACUGCCACGUGAACUGGAACAGAGUUUGCCGCCCCAUCGAGCUUGGGGGCCUGGGCGUGCGAGACCUCGAGCGCGCCGGUCUCGCCCUGCGACUACGCUGGUUAUGGUUCUCCAGAACGGACCCGGAGCGAGCAUGGCAGGGGUUGGACCUUCUAUUCUCGCCCACGGAACGUGCCCUGUUGUGGGCAUCCACGUUCACGCUCACGGGGAAUGGGCAGUCCACCCUGCUCUGGGAGGACCGAUGGAUAGGUGGCCAAUCCGUGCGCGAGCUCAUGCCUAACCUCUACGGCUGCAUCCCCAAGCGACGACGGAAGACGAGAACCGUGGCGGACGGACUCAAUGGCAACUCCUGGGCACACGACAUCCAAGGCACCCUCGGCCUCCACGAGAUUGGUCAGUAUCUGCAGCUCUGGCAGAUCAUGCAGCGCACUGAGCUCUCCACCACACCGGACAGGUUGACCUGGAGAUGGACGGCGAGUGGCAUCUACUCCGCGCAGUCCUGCUACACGGCCACCUUCCAUGGAUCAACGAGCUGUCAUUCCUGGAAGCUAAUCUGGAAGUGUUGGGCGCCGCCGCGGGUCAAGUUCUUCCACUGGUUAGCCAACCAGGACCGCUGCUGGACGGCAGAGAGGCUGGCGCGCCACGGUCUCCAGUAUCAUCCCCGCUGCCUCCUAUGUGACCAGCAACCGGAGACGAUGCGACAUCUGCUGCUGGAAUGCCCCCUAGCCCGACAGGCAUGGCACGAGACCCUGGCCUGGCUACGCAUACCGGCCCCGAUCCCAACACAGGAACUGUCGCUUACGGAUUGGUGGAACCAUGCCAAGGAAGACACGCCGCCGAUCCUUCGCAAGGCCCUGAAAUCUGUCGCGCUGCUCGUGCCUUGGAUGGUCUGGAAACACAGGAACAGCUGCGUCUUCGACAAUACGACUCCUUCUCUUAACAUGCUCUUAGAUAGCAUUCAGGACGAGGCCCGCUCAUGGGCGGCAGCUGGGGCACCUGGUCUCCGACUUGUGCUGCCCCAAACCUGGGAUGUGCAUUAA
rnacentral:rRNA from 1 species